rnacentral:rRNA from 1 species
UGCGGGGGGGGCAAGCGUUGUUCGGAAUUACUGGGCGUAAAGGGCUCGUAGGCGGCCAACUAAGUCGGACGUGAAAUCCCCAGGCUCAACCUGGGAACUGCGUCCGAUACUGGAUGGCUUGAAUUCGGGAGAGGGAUGCAGAAUUCCAGGUGUAGCGGUGAAAUGCGUAGAUAUCUGGAGGAAUACCGGUGGCGAAGGCGGCAUCCUGGACCGACAUUGACGCUGAGGAGCGAAAGCUAGGGGAGCAAACGGG